GUAUUGCCCCGCCUCUCUAAUCGAUCCAUUCUUCCUAGGAAAGUGACUUCAGGCAGUAGUCACAUAAAAGAAAAAGCAAUACGUUGAGCAAUGCGUUUACUUCCCAAAGAUUAGAAACAACCCAAAUGUCUAGUGGCAGGUGAGGCAGAAGUACACUGAUUUCCGCCGUUGUUUAUUACCUAGGCCUUACUGGGUACCAGGUGGGUCUGGUGGAUGCACUUUUCAUGCUGUGUCUCAUUUUGUCUUCAAAACGACUGUAGCGGCUCUGGAGGUCAAAAGAAAUGAGACUGCUGGGCUAAGAUCAAGGUGUCAGCAGGGCUGUAUUCCUUCCCAAGGCUCCAGGGGAGAAUCUGUUCACUUGCCUUUCCCAGCUUCUAGAGGUUGCCUACAUUCCUUGGCUUGCGGACCCUUCCUCCAUCUCCAGAAUCAGUAACGAAAGAUCCAAAGCCAUAUCCUGGCUGAGUUGGCUGAGUUGAGCAGGACACUGACAAGGAGGCUGCUGAGCCUGCAACUCGACUGUUCUGUUUGAGGAGCUCUGUGCUUUAUCAUAGAAAUGGAUCUGAGAUGUGGUCUCCCUAUGCUGCCCAGGCUCAUCUCAAACUCCUGGGCUCAAGCAUUCCUCCCACCUUGGCCUCCUAAAGUGCUGGGAUCAUAGGCGUGAACCACUGUGCCUGGCCUCAUGAUAUAACUUCUUAAUGUUAGUUUUUCCUUAAAGAGGGACUGCUUGCAGAGAGCUGUCACUUCUUUCUGCUUAGAACAGAUGAAAAUACAGAAGUAUAACAUCUCUAGUGGCUCAAAGAUAUACACAGAGCAUUAACAAUCCACUCACAGGAGUGUCAACACAUAUGCAGACAUCUGCCAUGCAUAGUUUGAAAAAACACCCCUGCAUCUGUAAGGACAGAUCUGUAUUUGUCAUUAGAGGGGAACAUUACAUUCAAAUUAUUUUAACAAAUGAACUUUGGGAUUUAAAAAACCACUGCUUUUCCCUUUAAUUCCAGUGCCUGUAUAACCUGCUUGAGUGAUGGGACAAAAAGUUAAUUCUACUUCUCUGUUGUUUCAUAGAAUAAUAUAUUUAGCUUCAAAAGAUAAUGUGAAGUUUCUCUAAAGAGAAAACAAAUUCUAGUGUGAUCAGGUGAUUUGGAAGCUGAGAUCUACAACACAGACUCCAGUGACUAAUGAGUGGUAUAAAACACAAUACAAUUAUAAAAAGAUGACUGUGAGGAAUUUUUAUUUUCC
rnacentral:lncRNA from 10 species